rnacentral:rRNA from 1 species
GCGCAACCCUUGUCCUUAGUUACCAGCACGUUAUGGUGGGCACUCUAAGGAGACUGCCGGUGACAACCGGAGGAAGGUGGGGAUGACGUCAAGUCAUCAUGGCCCUUACGGCCUGGGCUACACACGUGCUACAAUGGUCGGUACAAAGGGUUGCCAAGCCGCGAGGUGGAGCUAAUCCCAUAAAACCGAUCGUAGUCCGGAUCGCAGUCUGCAACUCGACUGCGUGAAGUCGGAAUCGCUAGUAAUCGUGAAUCAGAAUGUCACGGUGAAUACGUUCCCGGGCCUU